CUGGUUGAUCCUACCAGUGAUAUACGCUCGUCUCAAAGGUUAAGCCAUGCAUGUCUAAGUACAAGCUUCCUAGAAAGUGAAACCGCAUAAGGCUCAGUAUAACAGCUAUAAUUUACAAGAUCCUCAUCCAAACAGUUACUUGGAUAACUGUGGAAAAGCCAGAGCUAAUACAUGCAUUAUGCCGGGACUGUUGGCCUCCGGGUCGGCGGAACUGGUGCACUUAUUAGUUAAACCAAUCGCCUCCGGGCGCUUUGAGUUGAAAUCUGGAUAAGGAUGCCGAUCGUACGGUCGCUUGCGACUGACGACAGAUCUUUCAAAUGUCUGCCCUAUCAACUAUUGAUGGUAGUGUAGAGGACUACCAUGGUUGCGACGGGUAACGGGGAAUCAGGGUUCGAUUCCGGAGAGGGAGCCUGAGAAAUGGCUACCACAUCCAAGGAAGGCAGCAGGCGCGUAAAUUACCCAAUCCCGGCACGGGGAGGUAGUGACGAGAAAUNNNNNNNNNNNNN
rnacentral:rRNA from 1 species